AUGGCAAUUCCUGCUAAUGCUGCCGCCUCGAUGAGCUUCCCGAUGAUCAACAUGGAGAAACUGGAGACCGAGGAGAGGGGCGCGGCCAUGGAGGUCAUCCAGGACGCCUGCGAGAACUGGGGCUUCUUCGAGCUGUUGAACCAUGGAAUCUCGCACGAGCUGAUGGACGAGGUGGAGCGGGUGAGCAAGGCCCACUACGCGGCGUGCCGGGAGGAACAGUUCAAGGAGUUCGCGGCGAAGACGCUGGAGGCCGGCGAGAAGGGCGCCGACGUGAAGGACGUGGACUGGGAGAGCACCUUCUUCGUCCGCCACCUCCCCGCCUCCAACCUCGCCGACCUGCCCGACCUCGACCACCACUACAGGCAAGUGAUGAAGGAAUUCGCGUCGGAGAUCGAGAGGCUGGCGGAGAAGGUGCUGGACCUGCUGUGCGAAAACCUGGGUCUGGAGCAGGGCUACCUGAAGCGGGCCUUCGCCGGGUCCAGGGGGCCGACGUUCGGCACCAAGGUCAGCAGCUACCCGCCGUGCCCGCGGCCGGACAUGGUGGACGGACUCCGCGCGCACACCGACGCCGGCGGCGUGAUCCUGCUGUUCCAAGACGACCAGGUCAGCGGGCUGCAGCUCCUCAAGGACGGGGCCUGGGUUGAGGUGCCGCCCAUGCGCCACGCCAUCGUCGUCAACAUCGGCGACCAGCUGGAGGUGAUCACCAACGGGCGGUACAAGAGCGUGAUGCACCGCGUGCUCACCCGCCCCGACGGCAACCGCAUGUCCAUCGCCUCCUUCUACAACCCCGGCGCCGACGCCAUCAUAUUCCCGGCCCCGGCGCUCGUGGGCGCUGCCGACGCCGCUGAGAGGAACGAGGGCGAGGAGGGCACCGCCGUGUACCCGAGGUUCGUGUUCGAGGACUACAUGAACCUGUACGUGCGCCACAAGUUCGAGGCCAAGGAGCCACGGUUCAAGGCCAUGAAGGCAGACGCCGCGCCCAUCGCCACCGCGUGA
rnacentral:rRNA from 1 species